UUGCCCUAGUAACGGCGAGUGAAGCGGCAACAGCUCAAAUUUGAAAUCUGGCCCCCCUCGGGGCCCGAGUUGUAAUUUGCAGAGGGUGCUUUGGGGCAGGCUGCGGCCUAAGUUCCUUGGAACAGGGCGUCAUAGAGGGUGAGAAUCCCGUAUGUGGCCGCCUGUCUGUGCCGUGUAAAGCCCCUUCCAUGAGUCGAGUUGUUUG
rnacentral:rRNA from 1 species